AGUGGGAUAACUGGGUCAAGUGGUGGUUCCAUUUCAAGUUUUUUGAGGAAUAUCCAUACUACUUUUAAGAGUGUUUCAGAGCACCAGAUUGCAGUCCCACCAGCAAU
rnacentral:pre_miRNA from 1 species